GGGGGGGUCUCUCUGGAGAGUGGCUAUAAAUGCUAGCCUUUGUGCUGGGCAGCAAAGCAAAUCAUCGGGAAUAACCCGGGAGCCUGGCAGGGAAACCGCUGCACUAUGGAGAGGACGCUUCCAGAUACAGAGGACAAAUCAAGUGAAGGGACGGAACAGGUCACACCCAGAGCGGCACAGAGAUUGACGACUCUGCUUUCUCUUGGUCCGUGAUGGAAGAGGAAGCCCGAACGCACGCCUCUAUCAGCAACUCUGCAGCACCGCACUUGCCACUCGGAGAAAAUGCUUUGAAAGCCCAGACAGCCACAUACCAUUAGAAACAGAUGAGGUUUCAUCAUGUUCCCCAGGCUGGUCUCAUACUCCUGAGUUCAAGCAAUCCACCUGCCUUGGCCACCCAAAGUGCUGGGAUUACAGGUGUGAGCUACUGCGUCUAGCCCUCUUCCAUCGUUUUCAAGGAGGGAUCAGGGGUCAGCUGUUCGCAACUUGGUACGAAUGAGUUUGUCAUUGGAUCACCUCCCUUGGGAGGAAGUCUUGCCCUGGGGAUGUAGGAACAAGAACUAACAUGCUCAGUGCCUCCUAACAGCCCCACUUUACCUAGUGUGUCAAUUCCCCACAGACAAGUAAACUGAGGCCCAGGAAGCAUCGUUGCCUGAGGUUGCCGAGUUGAUAAGCAAAGGUCUCAGUCCCUGUGGACUCAGAGCCUGGGCUUCUCCCCUGGGACCCUGCAGCUCCACCGGCAGUUAUUCCAAUUCUUCCUCAGGUGUUGGAGGCUUGUAUGGAAACUCCUUGCUUCUGUCUCUCGCUCAGCCCUUAGAAAACCUCCAAGAGAUGGCCACUCCUGCCUGUGGUGCAGAGAACGCCCAGGCAGAAGACCCUUGGAGGCUCAGACAGAGAACUCACUGCACUUUCAGUCAUCCUGGGCUGGCUCCCCGGCCCCUCUCACGUUCUUUAUGGAUUUGACCCAAAGUCUUCCAGAUGGAUGGAGCUGUGGGCACUGAGUCUGGGAAUGUCUCAGCCCACCUUGGCUCCCUUCUCCAGCAGGAGUGGAGGUGUGUGAUGUCAAACAGGCCCAGCCUCUCUCUCAGACCCGGUUCUGGGCCCACACAGCCCCUUCUUCCUGAAAGCAGAGGUGGCAGUAAGAGGAUGGCUUUGGCCUUUGAAUGUUCUCAAGCGAUCCAAGUUCAGAGUAUACUGUUGCUGUCCUCUGUCCCUGAAGCUUCUCUCCUACUCCUUGGACAAACUCACUUCUCCCCUCAGGGACUUCUCUCAUGUAGCAGAGUGUACACCUGCUGCCCCAGCAAGGCCUUCACAAUGAUCCAAGCCUGGCCUGUUGCUCCAGCUUCUGGAACCUCCCAUGGCCUUCGGUCUACUUGAAUGCUCCUGAGGCCAGGUAGCUCAUCACUGCCGGAGGACCUGUUGCCACUCACUUCUAGCCACAAGAAAUGUCUGCCUGUCCUGAGCAAAACCCACCUUGGAGGAACUUCUUUACUCCCUUGUUGAAUUUUUGGCUCUACCAAAUAAACAUGAAUUGCUUCCCUGUGAAAGACCUCCAAAC
ensembl:lncRNA ZNF295-AS1 ZNF295 antisense RNA 1